rnacentral:misc_RNA from 1 species
UUUCCGUAGGUGAACCUGCGGAAGGAUCAUUAACAAAUCUAUUGAGUGCAGCAGUCCUAGCGACUGCAUGCACACAUAAGCCCUAAAGCGUAGCACUUCGGUGUGACCGCUUAGUGUGUUUGGAGGAGUCGAUUUUUUCGAUUCCUCCACAGGUCAUCCUUCUGGGUGACCACAUUGACGCUUGUAUGUUUGACAGAGUUUAUUAUGACAAUAAAAAUAGACAACUUUUAACAAUGGAUCUCUUGGCUCUU